rnacentral:lncRNA from 1 species
AUGGAAAAAGAAAAAGAAGAGAAGGGUGCGAACGCCAGGGAGGAUAAUAAGGAGGAGGAUAAUAAAAAGGAGAAGGAACACAAGGAGAAGGAGGACAAGAAGGAGGAGGAGCAGGAGGUGAAAGUGCCACGGAGGUUAGACUGGUCAGGUGGGAUAUCCAAGAGAGUGAUUUGUUCAGCUGUGGCUGGAGGUAGCUUCAUUUUAGUCUUAGAGAUAGCAGUCAGCCUUAGUAAGCAAGCUGGAAAAAGAACAGAGGAUAUAAUCUUUGAAGGCGACUUCUGCCCAGAUGGCUCAACUGUGCGUCCAAAAGACCGGUUCAAAUGCUACUACCUAUCAGUGGAUAAAAAGUCCUGGAGUGACAGUCAGAAAAUGUGUAGGUCUCUUGGUGUAAAGGUGGCUAUAUUUAGAACCGCGGAGGAAACGGAAUUCCUGGGGAAACGCAUUGGCUGUCCUCACUACCGGCUUGAACUAAUUAAUGACAUGGGAACCUUAUCCUGGAAGCGGGCAGAUGGAACUGAGCCCUCCAAUUGGGCAGAGACUCGAAGGAAGAAUUUAACCCCUACGUCAAUGAUGCUACAAUUCAGGCAUUGUCCACCACUGUCUCAAUGUCAUCAAGACUUUCUGAUCAAUCUCAUUUUAUGUUACUGAAGCAUCUUUCAGCUGAUUGGCUCUUUAUAAUGUUUCAUUCAAUGUUGGGUUUUCAAGGAAACAAUUAAUGAUUUAUAGGCAGACUUUGACUGAAAAGUGGCAAUGGGACAGCCAAAUAAAGAUGUGAGGGAAAAGAAAUAUGAUACUGGA